UACAGGGGGUGCAAACGUUGCUCGGAAUUAUUGGGCGUAAAGCGCGCGUAGGCGGCUACUUAAGUCGGAUGUGAAAGCCCCUGGCUUAACUGGGGAAGUGCACCCGAAACUGAGUAGCUUGAGUGCAAAAGAGGGCCGCGGAAUUCCCGGUGUAGAGGUGAAAUUCGUAGAUAUCGGGAGGAACACCGGUGGCGAAGGCGGCAUCCUGGACCAUUACUGACGCUGAGGCGCGAAAGCUAGGGGAGCAAACGGG
rnacentral:rRNA from 1 species